GUCUAGUGAUGAUAGCGAAGAGGUCACACCCGUUCCCAUGCCGAACACGGAAGUUAAGCUCUUCAGCGCCGAUGGUAGUUGGGGGUUUCCCCCUGUGAGAGUAGGACGUCGCUAGGCA
rnacentral:rRNA from 1 species